rnacentral:rRNA from 1 species
CCUACGGGUGGCAGCAGUGGGGAAUAUUGGACAAUGGGGGGAACCCUGAUCCAGCCAUGCCGCGUGUGUGAAGAAGGCCCUCGGGUUGUAAAGCACUUUCAGUGAGGAAGAACGCCUGGUGGUUAAUACCCAUCAGGAAAGACAUCACUCACAGAAGAAGCACCGGCUAACUCCGUGCCAGCAGCCGCGGUAAUACGGAGGGUGCGAGCGUUAAUCGGAAUUACUGGGCGUAAAGCGCGCGUAGGUGGCUUGAUAAGCCGGUUGUGAAAGCCCCGGGCUCAACCUGGGAACGGCAUCCGGAACUGUCAAGCUAGAGUGCAGGAGAGGAAGGUAGAAUUCCCGGUGUAGCGGUGAAAUGCGUAGAGAUCGGGAGGAAUACCAGUGGCGAAGGCGGCCUUCUGGACUGACACUGACACUGAGGUGCGAAAGCGUGGGUAGCAAACAGGAUUAGAUAGCCCAGUAGUC